rnacentral:rRNA from 1 species
AAAAUUAAAGGGCUGCAGUAAUUUGACUGUACAAAGGUAGCAUAAUCAUUAGUCAUUUAAUUGAUGACUUGUAUGAAAGAUUGGAUGAAAUAUAAACUGUCUCUUGAUUAUAAAUAGAAUUUAAUUUUUUAAUUAAAAAGUUAAAAUAAUUUAAAAAGACGAGAAGACCCUAUAGAGUUUUAUAAUUUUAUUGAUUAAGAUUAUUUAAUUAUUUAAAAAUUAAAAUUAUUAAAAUUAUUUUGUUGGGGUGACAGAAAAAUAAAAUUAACUUUUUUUAUAGAUAAGACAUAUAUAAGUGAAUUUUUGAUCCAUUAUUAUUGAUUAUAAGAAAAAAUUACCUUAGGGAUAACAGCGUAAUUUUUUUUUUUAGUUCAUAUAAAAAAAAAAGUUUGCGACCUCGAUGUUGGAUUAAGAUAAAAUUUAAAUGCAGAAG